GUCAACUCCUCUUGGAGAAACAAACUCGACGACUUCCGGUUAUCAUAACAGUUUAGCAGUGCUUUUGGUCCUUAAACUUUGGUUUCCCGGGGUUGUACCACAGUCCGUCUUCUGCCAUAUGGUUAAGCUUUUUCGCAUAAGAGGUGUAGCCAAAAUGUGGCAUUGGCGUAGAGCUCCUGCAUUAACUGCCACUAGUGAAACAGCCUCCCACUCCAGCAAAAGCUCAUCCUGGCUUCCCGACUCCCUUUAACAGAAGGUAUAUAGCUUAUGC